GAUGAACGCUGGCGGCGUGCCUAAUACAUGCAAGUCGAGCGAACAGACGAGGAGCUUGCUCCUCUGACGUUAGCGGCGGACGGGUGAGUAACACGUGGAUAACCUACCUAUAAGACUGGGAUAACUUCGGGAAACCGGAGCUAAUACCGGAUAAUAUAUUGAACCGCAUGGUUCAAUAGUGAAAGACGGUUUUGCUGUCACUUAUAGAUGGAUCCGCGCCGCAUUAGCUAGUUGGUAAGGUAACGGCUUACCAAGGCAACGAUGCGUAGCCGACCGGAGAGGGUGAUCGGCCACACUGGAACUGAGACACGGUCCAGACUCCUACGGGAGGCAGCAGUAGGGAAUCUGCCGCAAAGGGCGAAAGCCUGACGGAGCAACGCCGCGUGAGUGAUGAAGGUCUUCGGAUCGUAAAACUCUGUUAUUAGGGAAGAACAAAUGUGUAAGUAACUAUGCACGUCUUGACGGUACCUAAUCAGAAAGCCACGGCUAACUACGUG
rnacentral:rRNA from 1 species